UUAAAUUGAAGAGUUUGAUCAUGGCUCAGAUUGAACGCUGGCGGCAGGCCUAACACAUGCAAGUCGAACGGUAACAGGAAGCAGCUUGCUGCUUCGCUGACGAGUGGCGGACGGGUGAGUAAUGUCUGGGAAACUGCCUGAUGGAGGGGGAUAACUACUGGAAACGGUGGCUAAUACCGCAUAACGUCGCAAGACCAAAGAGGGGGACCUUCGGGCCUCUUGCCAUCAGAUGUGCCCAGAUGGGAUUAGCUAGUUGGUGAGGUAACGGCUCACCAAGGCGACGAUCCCUAGCUGGUCUGAGAGGAUGACCAGCCACACUGGAACUGAGACACGGUCCAGACUCCUACGGGAGGCAGCAGUGGGGAAUAUUGCACAAUGGGCGCAAGCCUGAUGCAGCCAUGCCGCGUGUAUGAAGAAGGCCUUCGGGUUGUAAAGUACUUUCAGCGGGGAGGAAGGUGUUGCGGUUAAUAACCGCAGCAAUUGACGUUACCCGCAGAAGAAGCACCGGCUAACUCCGUGCCAGCAGCCGCGGUAAUACGGAGGGUGCAAGCGUUAAUCGGAAUUACUGGGCGUAAAGCGCACGCAGGCGGUCUGUCAAGUCGGAUGUGAAAUCCCCGGGCUCAACCUGGGAACUGCAUUCGAAACUGGCAGGCUUGAGUCUUGUAGAGGGGGGUAGAAUUCCAGGUGUAGCGGUGAAAUGCGUAGAGAUCUGGAGGAAUACCGGUGGCGAAGGCGGCCCCCUGGACAAAGACUGACGCUCAGGUGCGAAAGCGUGGGGAGCAAACAGGAUUAGAUACCCUGGUAGUCCACGCCGUAAACGAUGUCUACUUGGAGGUUGUGCCCUUGAGGCGUGGCUUCCGGAGCUAACGCGUUAAGUAGACCGCCUGGGGAGUACGGCCGCAAGGUUAAAACUCAAAUGAAUUGACGGGGGCCCGCACAAGCGGUGGAGCAUGUGGUUUAAUUCGAUGCAACGCGAAGAACCUUACCUGGUCUUGACAUCCACAGAACUUUCCAGAGAUGGAUUGGUGCCUUCGGGAACUGUGAGACAGGUGCUGCAUGGCUGUCGUCAGCUCGUGUUGUGAAAUGUUGGGUUAAGUCCCGCAACGAGCGCAACCCUUAUCCUUUGUUGCCAGCGAUUAGGUCGGGAACUCAAAGGAGACUGCCAGUGAUAAACUGGAGGAAGGUGGGGAUGACGUCAAGUCAUCAUGGCCCUUACGACCAGGGCUACACACGUGCUACAAUGGCGCAUACAAAGAGAAGCGACCUCGCGAGAGCAAGCGGACCUCAUAAAGUGCGUCGUAGUCCGGAUUGGAGUCUGCAACUCGACUCCAUGAAGUCGGAAUCGCUAGUAAUCGUGGAUCAGAAUGCCACGGUGAAUACGUUCCCGGGCCUUGUACACACCGCCCGUCACACCAUGGGAGUGGGUUGCAAAAGAAGUAGGUAGCUUAACCUUCGGGAGGGCGCUUACCACUUUGUGAUUCAUGACUGGGGUGAAGUCGUAACAAGGUAACCGUAGGGGAACCUGCGGUUGGAUCACCUCCUUACCUUAAAGAA
rnacentral:rRNA from 1 species